GACGAACGCUGGCGGCGUGCUUAACACAUGCAAGUCGAACGGAAAGGCCCUGCUUUUGUGGGGUGCUCGAGUGGCGAACGGGUGAGUAACACGUGAGUAACCUGCCCUUGACUUUGGGAUAACUUCAGGAAACUGGGGCUAAUACCGGAUAGGAGCUCCUGCUGCAUGGUGGGGGUUGGAAAGUUUCGGCGGUUGGGGAUGGACUCGCGGCUUAUCAGCUUGUUGGUGGGGUAGUGGCUUACCAAGGCUUUGACGGGUAGCCGGCCUGAGAGGGUGACCGGCCACAUUGGGACUGAGAUACGGCCCAGACUCCUACGGGAGGCAGCAGUGGGAAAUAUUGCCCAAUGGGCGGAAGCCUGAUGCAGAAACGCCGCGUGCGGGAUGACGGCCUUCGGGUUGUAAACCGCUUUCGCCUGUGACGAAGCGUGAGUGACGGUAAUGGGUAAAGAAGCACCGGCUAACUACGUG
rnacentral:rRNA from 1 species